UUCACAGAACGAGAUCCCCUUCUUAUGCAAAUAAUAUCCCCAUCUUCUUCAUCCCCAAAUCAUCAACUUUUUACUUUCAUCACCAUCAACAGUUCAAUUUUUACAAGCUUUCUUAUUAUUUCGUUCUCAUACUAAAAUUCAAUAAAUCCUCCAAGAAAUAAAAAUCCAAUUUGUUUCUCAUUAAUUAGAAAUCAAAGACGAACCUCACUUCACAUCAAAGAUCGAAUUCACUUUCACAAACCGUAGCUUCAUCAUAAUCCCUAUCUCAAAAUCAAAACGGUGUUUCCUUUUCUAUUUUUACCUUCAACAGAACUCCUCAACUAAAUUGGUUUGAAUAUCUCUUCUUUGAGUUUAAGAAAUAAAACCCCUUAAUCUAAUACUGAAUCUUCUCUUACUGCGGGAAAUUUCGAGUCAAAGUUGAAUCAUAAGGAAGAGAAAAAGAAGCUUUCAUUCUUUAAGCAGUUUAUCAGAUUGGCCAUUUGAAAACUAUCAGAUUUCGUUUGAAGGAUAAAUAAGAGUCCUAGUCUCUUUUUGCAGGAGAAGAAGAGAUGAUGGCAAGGACUUGAGGCCUGCCGAUAUCCUUGUUCUCAACUGGGAGAAUGGUCAAGAUAUUUGCAUGGAUGUCACAGGUGUCUCUCCCUUCACUGGUGAAGGCAUUCGUUCUUUUGUCCCAGGUAAAGCUAUUUCUAAGGCGGUUUCGCGUAAGCAAGCUAAAUAUUUGGAAAAGUGUGCUUCACUUGGAUAUGGUUUGGGUGUCUUAGCGUUUUCUACUCUUGGGGAACUUGGUGAAGAUACUUUGUGUUUUUUCAAGCGCCUGAAGAAUUGUA